rnacentral:rRNA from 1 species
UAACGCGUGAGGAAUCUGCCUCGAAGAGGGGGACAACAGUUGGAAACGACUGCUAAUACCGCAUAAGCCCACGGUGCCGCAUGGCACAGAGGGAAAAGGAGUAAUCCGCUUUGAGAUGGCCUCGCGUCCGAUUAGCUAGUUGGUGAGGUAACGGCCCACCAAGGCGACGAUCGGUAGCCGGACUGAGAGGUUGAACGGCCACAUUGGGACUGAGACACGGCCCAGACUCCUACGGGAGGCGGCAGUGGGGAAUAUUGCACAAUGGGGGAAACCCUGAUGCAGCGACGCCGCGUGGAGGAAGAAGGUCUUCGGAUUGUAAACUCCUGUUGUUGGGGAAGAUAAUGACGGUACCCAACAAGGAAGUGACGGCUAACUACGUGCCAGCAGCCGCGGUAAAACGUAGGUCACGAGCGUUGUCCGGAAUUACUGGGUGUAAAGGGAGCGCAGGCGGGAAGACAAGUUGGAAGUGAAAUCUAUGGGCUCAACCCAUAAACUGCUUUCAAAACUGUUUUUCUUGAGUAGUGCAGAGGUAGGCGGAAUUCCCGGUGUAGCGGUGGAAUGCGUAGAUAUCGGGAGGAACACCAGUGGCGAAGGCGGCCUACUGGGCACCAACUGACGCUGAGGCUCGAAAGUGUGGGUAGCAAACAGGAUUAGAUACCCUGGUAGUCCACACCGUAAACGAUGAUUACUAGGUGU